UCCCUGGUGGCUCAGAGGAAAGCGUCUGUUUGCAAUGCAGGAGACCUGGGUUCGAUUCCUGGGUUGGAAA
rnacentral:tRNA from 1 species